GACGAACGCUGGCGGCGUGCUUAACACAUGCAAGUCGAACGGAAAGGCCCUGCUUUUGUGGGGUGCUCGAGUGGCGAACGGGUGAGUAACACGUGAGUAACCUGCCCUUGACUUUGGGAUAACUUCAGGAAACUGGGGCUAAUACCGGAUAGGAGCUCCUGCUGCAUGGUGGGGGUUGGAAAGUUUCGGCGGUUGGGGAUGGACUCGCGGCUUAUCAGCUUGUUGGUGGGGUAGUGGCUUACCAAGGCUUUGACGGGUAGCCGGCCUGAGAGGGUGACCGGCCACAUUGGGACUGAGAUACGGCCCGGACUCCUACGGGAGGCAGCAGUGGGGAAUAUUGCACAAGGGGCGGAGGCCGGAUGCAGAAACGCCGCGUGGGGGAUGACGGCCUUCGGGUUGUAAACGGCUUUCGCCUGUGACGAAGCGUGAGGGACGGUAAUGGGUAAAGAAGCACCGGCUAACUACGU
rnacentral:rRNA from 1 species